rnacentral:rRNA from 1 species
CCGCCGUAAACCCGAGGUUUCCAGGGCAACGUGUUUCGUCCCUGGGUUAGCCGGGACCUAAGCCGAGGCCGAGAGGCGUAGGCGAUGGACAUCAGGUUAAUAAUCCUGAGCUCGCAACCCUUAAACUGGGGGGACGCAUGAGAAAAGAUGACUAGGUUAUUGAAUUCCGAGUUGAGUCCACGGACUCAGCGCAUCAUUGGAUCGAGUGCCAAGAAAAGCCCCAGCGUAUGCUAAGCGACCCGUACCGCAAACCGACACAGGUGGGUGGGUAGAAUAUACCAAGGCGUAAGAGUGAAACCUGGUUAAGGAACUCGGCAAAUUAGCCCCGUAACUUCGGAAGAAGGGGUGCCUGCAGCGAUGCAGGCCGCAGAGAAAUGGCCCAACCGACUGUUUAUCAAAAACACAGCACUCUGCAAAGACGCAAGUCGAAGUAUAGGGUGUGACACGUGACCAAUGCCGAAAGAUUAAGGCAAGGGGUUAGCCGCAAGGCGAAGCUCUAAACCCAAGUCCCGGUGAAUGUCGGCCGUAACUAUAACGGUCCUAAGGUAGCGAAAUUCCUUGUCGGGUAAGUUCCGACCUGCACGAAUCGUGAAACGAGUUGGGCACUGUCUCAACCAGGCGCUCAGUGAAAUUGUAGUGGCGGUGAAGAUGCCGCCUACCCGCAGAAGGACGGAAAGACCCUAUAGACCUUAACUGUAAGCUGUCAUUGUUUCUUCGGUUUUAAUGCUCAGAGUAAGUGGGAGACGCUGAAGACGCCCUUUAGGGGGCGUCCGAGUCAUCAAUGAGACACCACCCUUUGAAACUGGAGGAUCUAACCCUGAGCCGUGAAUCCGGCCAGAGGACCGUGUCAGCCGGUCAGUUUUACUGGGGCGGUAUCCUCCCAAAGAGUAACGGAGGAGCGCGAAGGUGGGCUCAGCCCGGUUGGCAACCGGGUGUCGAGUGCAUGGGCAUAAGCCCGCCUAACUGUGAGACCAACAAGUCGAGCAGAUGCGAAAGCAGGCCCAAGUGAUCCGGCGGUAGAAAGUGGAAUUGCCGUCGCUCAACGGAUAAAAGGUACCUUAGGGAUAACAGGCUGAUCACGCCCAAGAGUUCAUAUCGACGGCGUGGUUUGGCACCUCGAUGUCGGCUCGUCGCAU